UAGGCAGGAAAUUAAAACAAUAGGACGGUGGUUUGAAGGAUUAGAACGGUCACCCUUUUUAGGAACAGGCUGAAUGUAGGCAAACUUCCAGCAAGAAGGAAAGUUUGAGCGAAGAGUUCAGCUUUAGAAAUAGAUAUGAUAGCAGUGGUGGCAUUUGGUUGAAAUAAAGGAGGGAAGGAAGAAGCAAAGUUGUUGGAGAUAUUUUUGUUUAGAUGACAGAAGUCACGAGGGGAGUUAGAUUUGGAAAGAUUUUGACACUUUCUGUUAAUGAAGGAGUUUUUGGCUAGAUGGAUAACAGACUUGGCAUGGUUCCGGCCAGAAGUAAAAAGUGCAUGAGAUUUUGGUGAUGGAAGGCUUAAGUACCUUUUGUGGGUCACCUCUCUAUCAUGUAGAGCACGAGGUAUGAUGGAAGGCUUGGUUGCAAGUUUCGUCGGAGGAUAAAACAAGAUAUGAUAUCGGAUCCCCUGUCAUUUACCGCCUGCGUGUUGCAUGGAGAGGUGAUAGCGCAAUACAAGCGGAAGAAUCGAGCAGCAGGAAUGCGGUCCAGAGUUUUGUUGAUGAUGGCUGCAGUAUCUGUGAUGACUCUACUUCUGGGAAUUAUAGUAACGGUGGCAAUUGUAACCACGGAAGAUCAAGAUAAUAAAUAUUUAUCAUCGAUCAGCACAGAGGGCGGUUUGAUAACCGGUGUUUCUGAAAAGUCAACUAAAGGAAAAACUUUCUAUGCUUAUUACUCAAUACCUUUUGCCAAACCACCUAUGGGAAAUCUAAGAUUCAAGGCCCCAGUGGAAGGUGUAUCUUGGAAAGGGCAUAGGGAUGGAACCAUACCUCCACCUCCGUGCCCUCAGCUACCGUCUGCUGUUGACCAUUCCUUUAUUUACGGGGAAGAGGACUGUCUCUUCCUUAAUGUAUUCACAAGCAAAACGAACGGCACACCUGUUGCCUUACCCGUGCUGGUAUUUAUUCACGGAGGAGGCUACAUCGCUGGUAGAGCCCACAGGCAUCAACCCUACGCUUUUCUCAACGAGGAAGUGGUGCUUGUAACACUGCAGUACCGCUUAGGCAUCUUAGGAUUCUUAUCGACAGAGGAUGAUGUUCUCCCUGGUAAUUUGGGACUGAAGGAUCAACUGUCAGCUUUACGCUGGGUAUCCAGAAACAUUAAACAAUUCGGCGGCGAUCCCAACAAGGUUACGAUUUUCGGUCAAAGCGCUGGGGCCAGCUCUGCCCAUCUACUCAGCCUGUCUCCAAAGUCUGAAGGUUUGUUUGCUCGUGCCAUUCUUCAGUCUGGAAGUGCGUUUUCAUCCUGGGCACUAGGCUCAAACUACAAAAAAACAGCUAUUCAGGUAGCCCAGCACGUAGGUUGUGAGAAUCAUGUGAACUCGUCCCAUGAAAUGGUGGAGUGCCUCCGAGGGGUGAAAAGUGAAGACUUGGUGACUACUCUUCCAAAAUUACUGACUUCGUUAUGGUUUCCAUUGCUCUUGGGACCUCGUAUUGAUAGCGAUUUACUACCAGAUUACCCUGAAGUGUUGGCCAGGAUGAAGAAAAAUAACCAGAUUGACCUAAUUUCCGGGUACACGAGUGAGGAUGGAGCAGAACUCUUUGCGGUCAUACAAGCAGAACGUCUAGAUAUAAACUUCACUGAGAACUUCGAUGAGGUUGCACCAUACACACUGGAUUACAGCGAAGAAAAUGAUAAUUCAUUUCAAUUAACUCAAUGGGUCUAUGAGUACUACAUGGGAGGACGUAAGCUGGAACCCACCAACAACUUUGUAAAGAUAUCUAAGGUUUGUUUUGUAUCAUCCAGGGGUGUCUCAUUCAGACGAAAUGUUUUACAUGUUUCCUGGCGCUCCCGACUGGAAGACCUUGACAUACCCAGCAGACUUUGCCAUGAGAGAUGUCUUCAUCAAACUUUGGACCAACUUUGCUGCCACAGGGAACCUCUUUUUUUUAUUUGGUUUCAGAAAUCCAACGCCAGAUCCAUCGCUUGGUUUUACGUGGGAGGCGACUAGCGAAGCAGAACAAAGGUUCCUGGUCCUCUUGCCUUCACCCGUUAUGAUGGAGGAUGACUCAGUGCGAAAGGCAAUGCAUAUUAAGCAUGCUCGUGUGUUCCUCACAUCUCUACCUACCCGACGAAACUGCCUGUUGUGACUAUAGAAGGAGGCACACCCAACCAUGUUUAUGUGACUUCCCACAAAAGCUGAGGAUCAUGAAUUGAAGUAGACGGUAGUAUUCGAAAUAGACGGAAACACACACACACACACACA